rnacentral:rRNA from 1 species
UAUCUCUGUAGAGUCUGCAUAUCAAUAAGCGGAGGAAAAGAAACUAACAAGGAUUCCCCUAGUAACGGCGAGUGAAGCGGGAAGAGCUCAAAUUUGAAAUCUUCAAGGGUUCUACCUUUACGAAUUGUAGUUUAAAGAAGUGUUUUCUGUUGAGGUUUUGGUAAAAGUUCUUUGGAAUAGGACAUCAUAGAGGGUGAGAAUCCCGUAUUUGACCAUUACUUUCCAACUUUGUGAUACACUUUCAAAGAGUCGGAUUGUUUGGGAAUGCAGUCCAAAAUGGGUGGUAAAUUUCAUCUAAAGCUAAAUAUUGGCGAGAGACCGAUAGCGAACAAGUACCGUGAGGGAAAGAUGAAAAGAACUUUGAAAAGAGAGUUAAACAGUACGUGAAAUUGUCAAAAGGGAAGCGUUUGACACCAGUGUUGUUUUUCUGAAAAUCAAUUAAAGAACUGUUUAUGCUAAGCUGUUUAGACUUUAUCAGCUAUCUGUUUAGUUUUGAGCUUUUCUUUAAUGCACUUUUCAGUUAACGAGUCAACAUCAAUUUCUUUUGCUGUAAAAAAGCUUGAGGAAGGUGGCUUGAGAUUCGUCUUAAGUGUUUAUAGCCUCUUGCCUAUGCAGUCGGAGAGAUUGAGGUCUGCAGCGUAGAUCCUUCGGGGCUAAAUGCAUUUGUGCUAAGUUAUAGCAUUUUAUAGACAACUUGUUGACUAUGAUUUGUCUUGUAGCUUACUCGCUUAUGUUAUUUUACCUACGCUUAGGAUGUUGACGAUCAGCUGAGCGCG